GAGUUUGAUCUUGGCUCAGGAUGAACGCUAGCGGCAGGCUUAACACAUGCAAGUCGAGGGGCAGCAAGGGUAGCAAUACCUGUUGGCGACCGGCAAACGGGUGCGGAACACGUACGCAAUUUACCUUUAUCUGGGGGAUAGCCCGAAGAAAUUCGGAUUAACACCCCAUAAUAUAUAGAAGUGGCAUCACUUAGAUAUUAAAACUCCGGUGGAUAAAGAUGAGCGUGCGUCCCAUUAGCUAGUUGGUAGGGUAACGGCCUACCAAGGCGACGAUGGGUAGCUGGUGUGAGAGCACGACCAGCCACACGGGCACUGAGACACGGGCCCGACUCCUACGGGAGGCAGCAGUGGGGAAUAUUGGACAAUGGGCGCAAGCCUGAUCCAGCCAUACCGCGUGGGUGAAGAAGGCCUCGGUUG
rnacentral:rRNA from 1 species